CCUACGGGUGGCAGCAGUGAGGAAUAUUGGUCAAUGGACGAGAGUCUGAACCAGCCAAGUAGCGUGAAGGAUGACUGCCCUAUGGGUUGUAAACUUCUUUUAUAUGGGAAUAAAAUGUUCCACGUGUGGGAUUUUGUAUGUACCAUAUGAAUAAGGAUCGGCUAACUCCGUGCCAGCAGCCGCGGUAAUACGGAGGCUCCGAGCGUUAUCCGGAUUUAUUGGGUUUAAAGGGAGCGUAGGUGGAUUGUUAAGUCAGUUGUGAAAGUUUGCGGCGCAACCGUAAAAUUGCAGUUGAAACUGGCAGUCUUGAGUACAGUAGAGGUGGGCGGAAUUCGUGGUGUAGCGGUGAAAUGCUUAGAUAUCACGAAGAACUCCGAUUGCGAAGGCAGUUCACUGGACUGCAACUGACACUGAGGCUCGAAAGUGUGGGUAUCAAACAGGAUUAGAUACCCUGGUAGUC
rnacentral:rRNA from 1 species